rnacentral:tRNA from 1 species
GGAUGUACUUCAGUGGUAGAACACUUGCCCAGCAUGUGCAAGACCCAGGGUUCAAUUCCCAGUGACUG